GAGUAGUUCUUGUGUUGCUUCAACAUCUUUGUCAGAUGGAACUGGGUUGUGUUGCUUGAAAAUAUCAGACUUUUGUUAGUGGCUAUCAGAAUCCAUCACCGGUGGAACCAACCCUUCAGCAAAUUUGCAAAUCUGGCACCUUGGAAUUGUAAUUCUCAUCUAAGAGGAUGUUUUCUCGCUUGAUAUCACAAUGAGCAAGGCAAUCUCGACAUUCCUGAAAUGUUUCUUACCCUGCUCAAUUCCCUCAAAUCGCUUUACUGCAACUACUGCUUCUUAGCAAGAAUGCCUUUGUAAACAGCUCCAAAUCCUCCUGCUCCAAGAAGAAUAAGAACAACAACAAGAAGAAGGACAUGCACGCAGUCUACUUUUCAAGUAACAAAGUCUGAUGUUUUCAAGUAACACAACCCA
rnacentral:misc_RNA from 1 species